AGAAUAGGAAAAGACACAAUUUCAAAAUAAAGAUCAACCAUUGAAAUUGGAUAAAUUUAGCCUUAUGAAAUACUCAAACAAUUUUUUUUUCCCCGUUUCUCUGAGGACCUACAGAUGCAGGUAUUGUUUUGCAAACCAGCUUUGAGAAUCACUGAUUUGUGGUAUUAUGCAUGUAUCCUUUGAUGUUGAUACUAUUAACAAAUGAGCAUCAUAUCCUUAAUCUUGCAAUAAGAUUGCGAUUAGAGUCUAAACAUGAUAAACGAAAAAUUAAAGUAGGCCGUGUGUCAUUUCUGGCCUAGAGAUACUUCAUUUGUUUCUUUUUUUUUUUUUUGUUUUUAAAUAGUAAUAAUUUAACAUAAGCAGAAAUAGUCCAGGCUCUGCAGUAUCUAUUCUAUAGAAAGUACUUAUAAUAAAAGUGAUAUACAUUAAUACUAUAAUAUAAAGGCAAAUACUAAAUGAAUUUAAUAAUAAGAGUGGUAUUUUGGAGUGAAAAAGGCCACUAAAUGGGGGAAGUUGAUCUUUAAUUCUAUUUAUUAAAUAACAGGAUGACCUUGAUAAAUAAUGCUGUUUUCUCAUUGGUGACAUACUAUUAGACUAAGUAGUUCACUUUAUAUUUAAUCAGCCAUUAUCCUGAGUAUUAUUAGUGUGAAUAAGAAAUACUUGUUAGAACAUUGGGCAGUGGUAAUCAAAAUGAAUUUCGAAGUGGAAUUGUAGUAAUGGUUGCCUUACCUUGAGUAAUGAUAAGGACAAUAUUUCUGUAAUGGAUUGUUUAUUCAUGAAAGAUGAAAGAUUAAAAUGGUCUGUCUCUACUGAUGAAAGUAACAGAAGGCAGCCUCAAAGUUUAUUUUUAUUUUUAUUUUUUUAGAGACAUAGUCUUGCUUUGUCACCUAGCAGAGAGGCUUGGGGAGCGCAGGAAAGCUAUAAAUCCCAAUACCCAUUAUCUCCUGAGGACAGACAGUCUCCGGUGCAGGCAGAUGCUUCAGGAGUUCCCCAUAAUCUGUAGGAUGGAAGCUGAGUGCCUUAAUAUGGCAGAGGCCCUCUGGAUGUGGCUUCUGCCUUCUCUGUUGAUCGCUUUCUUCUCACUCGCCUGUCACCGAGCCUUGUUUGUUCGUCUUAAAACAUUUUGGAAAAAGUUGAAGCUCUCCUUUUCUACCCUCCUGAUUCUGUGCUUCUGUUGGAGUGCAUAUCACUUGAUGGCUUCUAAGACAAAUGCUAAAUUCUUGUCAGAUUACGCAGUCAUCACUUCUUUGCCUUUUUUUUCAGCCAUUUCAUUUGCUUGUCUCUGUCUUUGCAGAAAUUUUAUGUUUAGAAUUACAGGGACAGGAAGAAUAAGAAUAAUUUUUAUGACUUGGGGUCAAAGAACCAUUGGGAUGUGCUUUUCUGGGAAGAACACCUUUCUCGUGUCUUCAUGGUUAUCAAAUCAAUAUUUAAGAUAAGAAAUACAAUUCUUGUGGUCCCUUGAUAAGAGGGUUGCCUCAAUAACAGUAAAUUAGAUUACCUUGGGGGGAUUUAUUUUUUAAUAAGCCAUAUUGAUUUUUACCCAAAAUUCAUUAUCUAGGAGUUUACAAAGAAAUUCUUCAGUAUGUUUCAGGAUUUUCCCAUUUUUGAAGUUGAAGUAAUAUAUUUUUUCUUUUCUAGAUUUUAAGUUUGUUUUAAAGCUGGGCUAUUCUCCUUUAAUUUUCAAGGAUAAUUGUUAGUUGUGUUGUGACCACUUAGGCUUAGUGCAGUAGGAUGAACGAAACAAGUGCCUGUGGAUGAAUUUAUUCAGCAUUCUUCAUUGAGAUAUUCUUUGGGAUAACUUCUUAUCUUUAUAAUGCCAGAUGCUGAUUUCAUUAGCACCUGGUUUUGAGAGAUUACCUGAAGUUGCACUCAAAAGCAAGAUAUACUACUAACUUUGAAAUGGAAUAAGGUUUUUUGUAUUUUUAGUAGAGAUGAGGUUUCGCCAUGUUGGCUAGGCUUGUCUUGAGCUCUUGACCUCAGAUGAUCGGCCUGCCUCGGCUUCCCAAAGUGUUAGAAUUACAGGCGUGAGCCACCAUGCCCGGAUGUAUUAAUGGUAUUUUAAUAAUAACUCUUGGUUGAUAAACUUAAACAUGACAGUUUUGAGCAGGCACCUUAAGUUCUGUAUACUACCGUGAGGCCAGGCACUUGUUUAGCUUCUGUGUCAUACAGCUACCCCUUGUAUUUUGUUCUUUUUUUUUUUAGUAUAAUAAAUCUAUAGUUUUAUUAACACAGAAACUGAUAGUGUGGUAUGAGGUUUACGUUUAAACAAAGUUUUCACAGAAAUCUAACACAUGCCUAAAAAGAUUUUACAAUCUAGCUCUAGAUGCAAGUCCAGACAAUAUCAAGAACUGAUAACAUAAGAGAGCAGCUGCCCAUGCCAAAUAGUUACCUCUUUUAAACUCAUUCUACUGGAGCAAAUGGGUUUUUUGAUUUGAUUUAACUAAUGUGGUUUUAGCUGAAGAGAGCCUUUCCAAGAGCUCACCUGUGGUACCCUGAGGAGGAGUUGAGCUGUCAUCACUCUAACCCAGGAAGACCUCAUGGAGAGGAGGGCAACACAAAGGAUGGCUAGUUUCUCAGAUGAAUUUCUGUUUCAGCAACUGGCUUCUCAGGCUUCAUUGAACUCAAAAUUAAACCCAAGCCUCUUUUUAUACUGUUAAGAAAUGUGCUGCAGACAGGAGGGGGAAAGUCAGUAUUCAUGAAUUUUCAAGUUGGAAUAAAGAAGACAUUUCUGAAAUGGGCUGAAAUAAGUGGAAUUGGGGAAAGCUGAAGAUGUUUUGCAUUAAUGUGUUAUGUUUCCCUUGAACUGUAGCCAAGAGACUCUUCAUAACAGCCUGCAUUUCAAGUCUAAUUGUAAGCCGGGUGUUGUACCUGCCUGUAGUCCUAGCAACUCAGGAGGCUGAGGCAGGAGGAUUGUUUAAACCCAGGAGUUAUACUAGGGGAGAGGCUGUUGUUUAUUUUUGGCAGAGCAAACGAACACAGUGAGGACUACUGGGAGACUCACUUGAAGACAGGCGGAUUGCAUCUAAGAGGUGGUGUUGCCCACACUGCAAAUUGUGCUUGUGUCUGUCUAAACAGCAAUGAAAACUGGCCAGGUUCAUAGUACCCUUUCAAAGUGGAGUUCUCUAAGGAAACAUUAGCUUCAGUUGAUAACUCUCAAAGAAACUAGGACAGUUCCCAGGCUGCUCUGUAUUUGUGUAGAUAAACAACAGGCAUUAAUAGAGCCAUACUGAAAAAAAAAAAAAAAACAGUAAUAAAAUUCACUGUGUUCUAAUUGUGUCCUCAUAGCAGCGUUAUAUUUUUUAACCCCAAAAUGGUACCUAAAGUGGAGAUUUGUAUGCAUUAUGAACUAAAUACAUUUUCUUAAGUAGUAUUUAUUGUGUUUAGGGUUUGCCACUAUUUCUGACUAAAAUGGAUGUUCAUGGUCUCAAGCACAUUGACCAGUUAUCUUUUAAUAAACUAUUUUUUAUUGUGCACAGAACCAAUGUAAUGGCAUUAGUUACUUGUUCUUUCAGUUUAUUUUGAUAACAAUUUUCUCUUCCAUAGUAGUUCUCUCCAUUUAAUUGAAUUUGGGAAUUACUGUCGCUGGGGAGUUCUGUGAGCCAACAUUGUAUGUGUGUGGAUAUUUACAAAUGCACCGUUGGAUUCUUUGUCGUUCAAGUGAAUGUUGACUAUUUACAGCUUACCAAUCCGCAGAGUCCACUGGAGUCUCACCUCCAAGAUAACUUCCCCAACCUCUCUGAGACCUUACCCAUCCGCAGAGUCCACUGGAGUCUCACCUCCAAGAUAACUUCCCCAGCCACCUAAACCAAGCCCCAGCAUCCCCAGCAUCACUCUAGUGCUUAGUUAUUAUUCGGGGAUGAGGUGAGGGGUUGCUAGAUCCACAUGAAAACUCUACAUGCUGUGAAGUGCAGUACAGAUGUGAGAGGGCAACACUGUUUUCCUUGCAUUAUUAUUUUUGUUUUACCUGUUAUGUGUUUGUCCUGUCAUCCCCUUCCCCCACAUUAUGACCCUCCUAGAGGUCAAAAGCUUUAUGUUUCUUAACCCAUCCCCAAGUGCAAAAAAUAAAAAAAAAUCAAAGCAGUAUAGAGCUGGAAUGAAUGAGUGAGUGAACAGAAUGAUGCUCUCUCUGCUCCCAACUUAUAUUCGUUUAAAAAUAGACAUUGCCUUUAGAAAACUGACCUUUGGUACAUUUGGGGCCUAGGGAUCUGAUAGGCUAUCUCUUAUGAUGCACAUCGCUCUGUUUUAGACUCUGAAAGGCAGUAUGCCUUUGAAGCUAGAUAACGUCAGUGUGCUUGUAACUUGGGACCCAGUCUGUGUGCUAUAUGUCUGCUUCUUCAGUCCACACUCAUUACUUCCAGGAAAUUCGUGAGAAGAUGAGAGAUUAUUCGUUAUAGAAUUGAGUAUGGUUUCUCUACACUAAUUUUAUUGGAUAUUUUCCAGUUUGACUAGGAAAGGUUAGAGAACAUGGAAAGAAAAUUUAACAGGUUAAUUUUAAGGUAAUAAGACCAUUGUAUUGAUAUAUUCUUCAGUGUGAUUUAGGUGAGUCAGGAAUUUUU
rnacentral:lncRNA from 1 species